GAUGAACGCUGGCGGCGUGCCUAAUACAUGCAAGUCGAGCGAACGGACGAGAAGCUUGCUUCUCUGAUGUUAGCGGCGGACGGGUGAGUAACACGUGGAUAACCUACCUAUAAGACUGGGAUAACUCCGGGAAACCGGAGCUAAUACCGGAUGAUAUUUUGAACCGCAUGGUUCAAAAGUGAAAGACGGUCUUGCUGUCACUUAUAGAUGGAUCCGCGCUGCAUUAGCUAGUUGGUAAGGUAACGGCUUACCAAGGCAACGAUGCAUAGCCGACCUGAGAGGGUGAUCGGCCACACUGGAACUGAGACACGGUCCAGACUCCUACGGGAGGCAGCAGUAGGGAAUCUUCCGCAAUGGGCGAAAGCCUGACGGAGCAACGCCGCGUGAGUGAUGAAGGUCUUCGGAUCGUAAAACUCUGUUAUUAGGGAAGAACAUAUGUGUAAGUAACUGUGCACAUCUUGACGGUACCUAAUCAGAAGGCCACGGCUAACUACGUG
rnacentral:rRNA from 1 species